AGAAUCAACGCUGGCGGCGUGCCUAACACAUGCAAGUCGCACGAGAAAGCGGACUUCGGUCUGUGAGUAAAGUGGCGCACGGGUGAGUAACACGUGAAUAAUCUACCUUCGAGUGGGGAAUAACUGAGAGAAAUCUUAGCUAAUACCGCAUAACACUUACGAGUCAAAGCAGCAAUGCGCUUGAAGAGGAGUUCGCGGCAGAUUAGUUAGUUGGCGGGGUAAUGGCCCACCAAGACGAUGAUCUGUAUCCGGCCUGAGAGGGCGCACGGACACACUGGAACUGAAACACGGUCCAGACUCCUACGGGAGGCAGCAGUGGGGAAUUUUGCGCAAUGGGGAAACCCUGACGCAGCAACGCCGCGUGGAGGAUGAAAUCCCUUGGGAUGUAAACUCCUUUCGAUCGGGAAGAUAAUGACGGUACCGAGAGAAGAAGCCCGGCUAACUUCGUGCCAGCAGCCGCGGUAA
rnacentral:rRNA from 1 species